rfam:Stegodyphus mimosarum contig41586, whole genome shotgun sequence.
GCCUUCGUGGUGUAGUGGUCAGCAAGCUCGUCGCGUAACCGAGAGGUCCGUGGUUCGAUUCCCGGCGAAGGCG